UAUAAAUAUAAAUUAAAACAAUUUGUAAAUCUCAAGUUUGCUCAAUAGUUAUUGUGUGUCUUCUAUAUUUAAACUCUAGGUUUGGACAUCAUACAUGUUUGAAACAUGUUGAAACACAUGUUUCAAGUUUAAAAAAAAAAGCAUGAAGGAACAGUGAUGACAUACAGUAUUGGGAAAAUAAGGCCACUAUGACUGAACCAAAGAAACUGAGAAUGAAAACUUGUAUGAACCUGAAAAACCAAGAUUCCAGGAAAUGCCAUGAUCUUCUGCACGAUGGUCAUCCUUACAUGUACCAAAUGACUGCUGCAGUUUUUAUUAUGCUGUUCAUUGCUUCAUUUCUAAACAAGACUAUCAACAGCACCAGAAAGCAAGAUGGCAGGAAGAAGAUUGCCUUGGAAAAUCUUCAUGUGCUCUGAGCUCACUGCGAGACUGGCAAUGAAAGUGCAACAACUCGCCAAUGCAUCACUGCACCAAGCUCAAGUGUGUUUCUGUCAAGUGUCUUCCAAGACCCUUUUGGGGUGUGCUAGACUCUUACAUGUUACAGAGAGAGAAGAAAACUGCAAACAACCCAGCAGUAAAAGUAUUGUGCCUUAGUGUAUGGAAUAGUGUAUUUUUCCAACAGAAGUUGCUAUUGUGUAUCCCUUAGUAUAAACGUGCAUUCAAUGGGAAAGGGCAGCCAGGAAUUUAAAUAAGGGAAGCUGUCCAUGGAGAAAGUUCAAUUGGAAACUACAGCUGGAUGACUCAGUUUCCCCAGUUAGCUUUUGCUGGAGACUGUAAGCACUUGGUUUGAUGAUGUUAUCUCUAUGUGUUGCUGUUUGCUCCUUUACUUUAAAGACUCAUCAGCGGGGAUACAUUGCUCUGCCAUAAUGUCUUAAAGGACCUUACCCACUCUAUUUCUAGCAGUUGUUUUGAACACCUAAUUUGAGAUCUUCUUCUUCUUCUUCUUCUUCUUCUUCUUCUUCUUCUUCUUCUUCUUCUUCUUCUUCUUCUUCUUCUUCUCCUUCCUCUUCACUUCUUCUUUACUAUCAUAUGUUAUUUCUUUACUUUGGGUUGAUAUAUAUUUAAUAAGAUCAUUCAUUCACAACAAAAUAAUAUUGUUAUGGAUGAUUUCUCAGGACUCUGUAGAAAGAAAGUGAGAGGGUAGGAGAAAGGACAGAGCUGUAAGUAUGGAAUAGAAGAGAUUUUCUGCCAGGGAAAACUAAUUCUGAAGGUGUCCAGAGAAUGGUCCUUCUUCACUUCCCAUUGACUAUAAUGUGACAUUCCAUUGUAAUCAUUUUGUACAUUAACUUAGCAGCCUGGGUGGAUUUCAUUGGUAUAUGUAUGUUCACAAACUGAAUGGGUGUUUCUGUAAAAGUUUAUGAAUGAGAUUAAUAUUUAACUUAUUGGAGCUGCGAAUCCAUUGUGUGUCUGGAUAGAACAGAAGGAAAAGAAAGGCAAACUUCCCCUCUCUUUCUUUCUGAACUUAUAAGUUGCUACAUUGACUGUUUGAUAGGUCAAGACUUAGAUAUCCCAGGCUGUCCUUAUACUCUACAUGUGUUCUAGGAUUGCCUGAAACUCAUAGCAAUGCUCCUUCAGUCACCCAAGCUCUAAUCUCAGAAGCCUACACCUCAGCAUCCAACUUCUUCCUCACAUUUCUCUCUUUACAUGCAAUGGAUCUCAGGUAAGUACAACACAAGUAUUUAGGGACAAGUGUAUAUUUCAUCUAUGACCUUUAAGGCUCUGUGUCUUUAGCAUGUUCUACCACAGGUCUUUUGCUUGACCUCAAUUGCUUCCUGAUUGUCUUUCUUGUGUUUGUAGUUUAUAUAACCAUGACAUGGAAUUUGCAUCUUACAUACUAAUGCAUAUGUAUUUCUCCUCAAUCUUUUAACUCUGUCUCUCCAUCUUCUCUUUGUUUCACUAGUACUACAUGAGAAGAACCAAGCCGAACAAUCCCAGUAGGAGUUUAGAACAUCCAGCAUUGCCAUUCUUUUUUUUUCCAGGAACUCCAAUCAGAGAUAAAUGACAUUGCAUUAUGUGCAGAAACUAAAAUACAAGACAAUGGUGAUUUUACCCAGGGUACACACUUUUUACCCCUCUUUCUAACCCCCAUGACAAGACACAGAGCCUUAAAGGUCAUAGAUGAAAUAUACACUUUGUCCCUAAAUACGUGUGUUGUACUUACCUGAGAUCCAUUGCAUGUAAAGAGAGAAAUGUGAGGAAGAAGUUGGAUGCUGAGGUGUAGGCUUCUGAGAUUAGAGCUUGGGUGACUGAAGGAGCAUUGCUAUGAGUUUCAGGCAAUCCUAGAACACAUGUAGAGUAUAAGGACAGCCUGGGAUAUUUAGCAAAACUUUGUCUCAGUAAAUGCAAAACCCAAAACAAAUGAAAAUGAAAUCUAAGAAAUGUUUGUGGAGAUGGAUACUGAAUACCUAGAAACACAGUUGCAAGAAAACACAAUUGGACUGGAAAAACUUCAUUGCUAUGUGUUUGGUAAAUAGGAAAUUUAUGUUUGAGGUUCCAUUAUAUGUGAUUUUAGAAAGCAGUCUUACAGAUUCUGUGGUUGAUCAACUGACCAAAAAGUCAUCCACAAAAUUAUGAACUGAAAAUGCUAUAAUUUACUGUCUCAAAGGCUUGAGAGAUUCACACAUUAAAGUUGGCUUUUAUUUAUUACUAUGUUAGAAGAAUCCCUAUAUCACUGAGCCCUGUGGUCACUGUAGAAGAUCAGAUCUCAGUGAUGGAGCUGUAAUUAUUGAAUUGGAAAAACAAAUGUAAGGUCAGUAAUUGAGUGUUAUAUUGUCAGAGGUCAAAUCUUUAACAUUAAUUACUAAUGACAAGGCAGACAUGAAUGUGUAAUGGAUAUGGAAAUCAAUGUAACAAUCAGAAUGUACUCACUUAGAGAAGUGUAUGUCCCAACUUAACUGAGUUUACCUUCAAAGUGAUGUGGAUAAAAAUCUUUUCUGAAUUAUGUAUCAUUAGAAAGAAAAGUUUGAACUCAAACCAUACAAAUGGUGUAUCGUGCCCUUCAGUCAGUUCAAAGACAUGACAAUUUUCAGAUCUAUUCUACGUGAAUGAAGUUGCUGGGUCAGUUUAGUAAAGGAUUUUGGUAUUUUUAAAAAAGAUGCAUUCCAUUAAACCUUUCUCAAUGUCUCUAGGGAUCCAGAGACUUCUGUUAGAUUAAGUGACGAUUCAGGAAAAUAAAACACUUAGAAUUUUCAGGAACAACUAGUCUGUACUUUGAGAUUAGCACAAAUUCUACCAAAUCUUUAACUUCACUUUUAUACAUCAAGAGUGUCCUAGGAUUAAGGAUUUAACAGAAUUCAAGGUGCCAGUGGAGUCAUUGGUAAUAUUCACCUCAAAGUAGGCCCCAUGUAUCCUGUGAUUAAUUCAUUUAUUCUGAAAUGCAUAAUUGGAACAGACAUAUCCACUAGGUAUUGAAAUUCCCAUCUUGGCUUACUGACCUAUGGUGCUAUUGUGGUAGAAAAGGUCAGGUAGGAGCUUGUACAAAUUACUAUAGUGAAGAAAAAGAACAAACUAUAACAAACUCCUGGAGGGAUAGCAAACAUCAGUGCCAUCAUCAAAGACUUGAAUCAUGUAAGAUUCCUGAUUACAUCUGGCCGAUGGUGGUGCUCGCCUUUAAUCCCAACACUCAGGGAGGCAGAGGCAGGAGGAUAUCUUUGAGUGUGAGGCCAAUCUGGUCUACAAAUCAAGUUCCAGGACAGACUCCAAAGCAAUACUGAGAAACCCUGUCUCCAAACACACACAAAAAAAGUUUUCUGAUUACUAGCACAUUCUCUUUCAGCUAGUGUAUGUUCUGAGCAGAAGUCAGAGGACUCUAGGAGAAUGCAAUAGGCUAUUACAAGUUUAGACAGGUGGUGACUCCAUUGUAAUCUGUGAACCAGAUGUGAUUUUAUUGCUUGAGCAAAUUAACAAUCCACUGGGACCUGGUAUAUAUUGAGAUGGCAUUUUCCACAUCUCUGUCCCUAAGACCAAGGAAAGUGUGUUUUGGGGUUUCAAGAUCAUAUAGAAUAUAUAUUCUAUAGAUAUAUCAUCUCAUUCCAAUGUUUAGUCCACACAUAUUUUAUCAUAUUUAUCAUUCUGCAAAGUACAUGAAUUAUAGUUUAUACUGGUAGUAGCAUUUUGAUUAGGCAGAUUAAGUUAACACUUAGGAAACAGUCCUUUGUUAUUAUUAAGACCUUUAUAUAGCUGAGUAUGAGGAAGGAAUCUAACAAAAUCCAGGAACAUAUUACAUCAUUGAAAUACCUGAAGACCCCAUGAUAUGUGAUGCAUGAAUGUAUUGGAAACAAAUAAAAUGACAAAUAGUUGUGUCUGGUGGGGUUUUAGAAACAAACAUGAAUGUAUUGGAAACAAAUAAAAUGACAAAUAGUUGUGUCUGGUGGGUUUUUAGACCCAACAGACUCAAAAUCAGUGUUUUAGAGAAUUAAUUAUUUAUUUUGUAAUUUCAUUUUAUGUUCCAAACACAGUUCUCCCUCUCACAGCUCCUUCCACCCCUUCCUCUUCCCCAGCCAAUUCCACAUCCACUCCUCCCAUCUGGGUAAGGGCACCUGAGGUGUCAACAAAGUCUGGUACAUUAAUUUGGUGCAGGACCAAAAUCCCUCCCCAAUGCAUAAAUCAGUUUUACCAUAAGCUACUAAUAAUAGAGGUAAAUUUAGUUGAAAAUGAGAUACAACAGGGACGAUUUUAGAGUAGGUGCACAGAAUUCAGUGUUAUCUACAGCUUGUAUCUACUUGCAUUCUGUUCCCUCAUCAACUGCAGUCUUUCAGUGAAUGAUUGUUUAUAGCUUCUAGAAAUAUAAAUACUAAUAUGUCCAAAGAUACUUCGUAGUUAUGUUUUGAUUUGCAUUUUCCUGAUGAUUAAGAAUGUUGAGCACUUUCUUACACAAUGGAGUACUACUCAGCUGUAAAAACACUGAUGACUUCAUGAAAUUUUCAGGCAAAUGAAUGGAACUAGAAAAAAGAUCAUUAUGGAAAAAUCAGAAACAGCUGAAUCAAGCUCAUGGAAACUCAUGAACUCUAGACCUACACCUGUGGAGAUGCCAGGGGACGAAACUAGGCCUUCCAUAUAAGUGAGACAGUUGUGAUGCUUGGACUAUCAGAAAUGUCCCUGGAAAUGGACCAUGAUACAAACAUGGUACCUGAGCUAGCUUGUUGGAGCCCAUUCCUUAGGGUGAGAUGCCAUGCUGAAUGACAGUAGGAUGAUAUUAUAAUCCUGGUACAUGAGCUAGAUUGUUGGAACCCAUUCCCUAUGGUGGGAGGUAGGAUGCCAUGCCUAAUUUUAAUGCAUGGGAGACAGACUGGGCCCUGCCCCAACCUAAUG
rnacentral:lncRNA from 1 species